UGCAACUGGUUUUAACUGGUGGCAUUUCUCGCAUGAAUUAAGGUCAACAAGCCCUUUUAGAUCCACCAUUGAAAGAGAAAGCCUUUGGAUGAAAGACUGGCUUGACAGAAAUGUUCAUGUGAACGAUUUAUUCGAGGAUACCUUAAGAGAGUUAACAUUGUCAUUAUCGUGGCUUCCUUAGGCGAUUUAGGGAAACAGAAUGGGGAUGCAAUUCUGGUUUAUGAAAGAUAGAACACGUAAACGCUGCCUCUCAAGACGAAUUGCCGCCAAGAUGUGAUAAUUGUUUUUCAUGAUUCAUCGUUUAGUUCUAAGCCGGUUGAAACUCUUUGUGUAUGUUCAGAAUAAAUGCAAUAUUCUCGGUCAGCAUUCAUUGCCAUCUGCCGAAAUAUCAAGUGACUUACGCUC